rnacentral:rRNA from 1 species
GACAGAGGUGCCGAGCGUUAGGCGGAAUCACUGGGCUUAAAGCGUGUGUAGGCGGACGGGUAAGUACCUUGUGAAAUCCCACGGCUCAACCGUGGAACGGCUGGGUAUACUGCCCGUCUUGAGCAACCUAGGGGCAGACGGAACAAGUGGUGGAGCGGUGAAAUGCGUAGAUAUCACUUGGAACGCCGACGGUGAAAACAGUCUGCUGGGGGUUUGCUGACGCUGAGACACGAAAGCCAGGGGAGCGAACGGG